GCAGUUUCACUUCCCGCAAGGGCUCUUGGCAGAAGGCUAAAGCUGAACCAGGGUCAGAGAGAGGCAGAUUCUGCAGAGAGAGGGGUUACUGGGCCAUGACAUCCUGCAACCCACAACUUGGGAACCCUGACAGCUGCUGCUUGUGAGAGGGUCUGAUCUUUGGCUUGGCUAUCUAAUGGAGACCCAAACCUUCUCUACUAGGGCACAAUCUAUGAAUUUGGUCAGUGUGCACCACGAGUCUGUAAACAGAUAAGUCGCCAGAGAUGGAAAGUAACUUAGCAACCCAGAGCACUGAGAGGAAACUGCUGCAGCCUUCAACCCCCACCGCCAGAUGGUCCAGGCUCUUCACUGGCUUCCUGGUUCUGCAACAAUGGCAGGGCAACAGGCUAUUCACAACUUGUUCCACUGCCAGCACCCCACAAAUUCUGCCUCGAAAAACCCAAGGCAAAAAUUGAGAACAUGUUCCUAAUAUUUACCAUAUAUUUUAAACUUUUCCUGGAUAUCUGAAGGGAAAGGGGCAAUAAACAAGGAAUAAAGUACAACCAGCCUCAAAUGUGGUUCUCAGAAAUGGCUUCUCCUUGGAGAGCUAGAAACACUGACCCAGAACACAGUAGGAAAGUUGAAGAGUCUGGGCCGACACUGGCCCAUUUCCACGUUGGCGAGGA
rnacentral:lncRNA from 1 species